rnacentral:rRNA from 1 species
UAAUGUGUUANCGGUGUUGUCUGAGCNACNAGCAACGAAUCGAAACUUUCAACAACGGAUCUCUUGGUUCUGGCAUCGAUGAAGAACGCAGCGAAAUGCGAUAAGUAGUGUGAAUUGCAGAAUUCANUGAAUCAUCGAAUCUUUGAACGCACAUUGCGCCCCUUGGUAUCCCGAGGGGCAUGCCUGUUCGAGCGUCAUUUCACCACUCAAGCCUGGCUUGGUGUUGGGCGACGUCCCCUUUGGGGACGUGCCUCGAAACGCUCGGCGGCGUGGCACCGGCUUUAAGCGUAGCAGAAUCUUUCNCUNNGAAAGNCGGGGCCCCGUCUGCCGGAAGACCUACUC